rnacentral:rRNA from 1 species
AGUGAACGCUGGCGGUAGGCCUAACACAUGCAAGUCGAACGGCAGCACAGGAGAGCUUGCUCUCUGGGUGGCGAGUGGCGGACGGGUGAGGAAUACAUCGGAAUCUACUCUGUCGUGGGGGAUAACGUAGGGAAACUUACGCUUAUACCGCAUACGACCUACGGGUGAAAGCAGGGGACCUUCGGGCCUUGCGCGAUUGAAUGAGCCGAUGUCUGGAUUAGCGAGUUGGCGGGGUAAAGGCCCACAAAGGCGACGAUCCGUAGCUGGUCUGAGGGGUUGGUCUACACAACUGGAACUGGGACACGGUCCAGCCUCCUACGGGGGGCAGCAGUGGGGAAUAUUGGACAAUGGGCGCAAGCCUGAUCCAGCCAUACCGCGUGGGUGAAGAAGGCCUUCGGGUUGUAAAGCCCUUUUGUUGGGAAAGAAAUCCAGCUGGCUAAUACCCGGUUGGGAUGACGGUACCCAAAGAAUAAGCACCGGCUAACUUCGUGCCAGCAGCCGCCGUAA